UCUCGCCCUCUCGCCUGGGGCCUAAGGUU
rnacentral:misc_RNA from 1 species